UACGUAGGGACCGAGCGUUGUCCGGAUUCAUUGGGCGUAAAGAGCUCGUAGGCGGCUGCUCAAGUCGAAUGUGAAAACUCGAGGCUCAACCUCGAGCCUGCAUUCGAUACUGGGCGGCUAGAGUCUGGUAGGGGGAUCUGGAAUUCCUGGUGUAGCGGUGGAAUGCGCAGAUAUCAGGAGGAACACCGAUGGCGAAGGCAAUCCCCUGGGCCUGCACUGACGCUCAUGCACGAAAGCGUGGGGAGCAAACAGG
rnacentral:rRNA from 1 species